UACGGAGGGGACAAGCGUUGUUCGGAAUUACUGGGCAUAAAGGGCGCGCAGGCGGCUGCUCAAGUCAGGCGUGAAAGGCCUGGGCUCAACCCGGGAAUUGCGCUUGAGACUGGGCUGGCUUGAGUGCGGGAGAGGAUGGUGGAAUUCCCAGUGUAGAGGUGAAAUUCGUAGAUAUUGGGAAGAACACCGGUGGCGAAGGCGGCCAUCUGGACCGCAACUGACGCUGAGGCGCGAAAGCGUGGGGAGCAAACAGG
rnacentral:rRNA from 1 species